rnacentral:rRNA from 1 species
AGGACGAACGCUGGCGGCGUGCUUAACACAUGCAAGUCGAGCGGAAAGGCCCUUCGGGGUACUCGAGCGGCGAACGGGUGAGUAACACGUGAGUAACCUGCCCUAGCUCUGGGAUAGCUCCGGGAAACCGGGAUUAAAUACCAGAUACGACCACUUUAGACAUCUGUCGUGGUGGAAAGGAUUCCGGCUAGGGAUGGGCUCGCGGCCUAUCAGCUUGUUGGUGGGGUAACGGCCUACCGAAGGCGACGACGGGUA